AUCCACGAAAGUAUUAAAAAGUGUUAAAACGUCUCCAAAUUUUCUACUGAUUCGCCUGUCGAAAUAUAGCACUUCUCCAGAAGUAUCCCCCGCGUGAUGUUGUCCGACCACAGGAGUAGAGUAGCUCAUUCGGUAAUUUUGGGAUCGACUAGACCCCGUAUCUCAGCGGCAGAUGAGUGUGUUGGUGCCGUUUUUACAUUGGUAUGGGCAGCAUCCUAAAAGGUGGGCGGUGGCUUUUGAUGCCUUAUCCCAUGAAAUUCUCCAGGCUUCAAAUCACUGGUUCUUGGUGCGUCCACUGGCACGUACGAAGGUGGUGGAUGUGGUUCACCGUAGUAACGUUUCCGUCUCGCCCACUGCUACGUACGGUUGAAGGAUGACUCUUACCUAAGUGAUGUUUGCAAGUGUAUCUGUAGACUGACGUUGUGGGGAAAGUGGUUUGGCAGCAGACUGCUAGAGUCGUGGCUUGUCCAGGGAAAACUUCAAACUGCAAACUCCACAAUAUACAUGUUGACAGACAUUUGUCAACAUAGCUGGUCUGGGGUUUUGUGUUUGAUUACGCGCGCCACUGUUCUC
rnacentral:lncRNA from 1 species